UGAUGUGAAAUAGAUAGUCUUUGCUUUGAAGAAGACCUUCCCAGGCGUGUUCGAAGUUCACCUGGUUUGUAAAAUAGGUAUAUAAAUAAAAUUAUGUGACCAUUAGCUCCGUAUCAAGAUUUAAACUUUAUGAAUUCAGAUUUGCAAUCGUUGUUAUUAUUUUCUUUCUGACAUCUUCUGUUUUUUUAUAACCAUGUAAACAUUACCAUUGACAAACAAAUACUUACACUUAAAGAGCACUUGGUCUCGCACAUACAGAGAUCAAGCCUCCAACAGACAAACAAUAAAAGACUAAUUACAUUUGCAGUUGCUCUAUGAAGUUCCUACAUUUAUGAGUUUUCUGAGAAGAACUAAUUGUAUCUACUCUAGCCUUUUCUUUUGUUUCUUUUCUAAUAUUAUUGCCACUCCUGAUGAGCCGAGAGUCUCCUGAAAACAGCCUCUCUAUCCUUUUCGGGAUAGGUGUAAGGUCCACGUACACUCUACUCUAGUAAAAAUUUACUGGAUAUUUGUUGUUAUUGAGUUCAGAUUGCAAUACUACCAUAUCUUAUCUAAAUAAUAUGUUCAAAAUUUAUUAUUUGUAUAUAUUUAUGAUUUUUUGGAUAAAAAUAUAGGGUAUGUAAGUGUAAAGAAAUAGCAUAAGAAUGGUAUUAUUCGGAGACCUUCUGCUAGCCCAAGAUCGUUAGAUAAUAUUGGAGGAUUCAACUAAAGAAGAGGAAGCUUGAAAGAGAGAAGAAAUGUUUUGGAAAGGAGAACUUUGUUUAGGAAAGAAGGCUUUCUUGAUUUGGCUUGCUUACAAAUGAACAAGACACCCCCUAUUUAUACUAGCCUAUGGAUGAUUCUAGAUAUGAUUCUAGAUAAUGUACAAGGGUUCUACUCAACCAUCGCACAGGCAAAUGCUGUAAAAAAAUAGUAGAAGAAGAGUAUUAUUCAGAGACCUUCUGCUAGCCCAAGAUCGUUAGAUAAUAUUGGAGGAUUCAACUAAAGAAGGAAGCUUGAAAGAGAGAAAAAAUAUUUUGGAAACGAGAACUUUAUUUAGGAAAGA
rnacentral:lncRNA from 1 species